rnacentral:rRNA from 1 species
AGUGAACGUUGGCGGCGUGGAUUAGGCAUGCAAGUCGAGCGAGAACCGUAGCAAUACGGGGACAGCGGCGAAAGGGACAGUAAUGUGUAGGUACCUACCCCUGGGUUCGGGAUAGCUGCGGGAAACUGCAGGUAAUACCGAAUAAUGUCUCCGGACCAAAGGUGUGAUUCCACCUGGGGAGGGGCCUGCAUCCUAUUAGCUUGUUGGUGGGGUAACGGCCUACCAAGGCGACGAUGGGUAGCGGGUGUGAGAGCAUGACCCGCGUCAUUGGGACUGAGACACUGCCCAGACACCUACGGGUGGCUGCAGUCGAGAAUCUUCGGCAAUGGGCGCAAGCCUGACCGAGCGACGCCGCGUGCGGGAUGAAGGCCUUCGGGUUGUAAACCGCUGUCGUAGAGGAGGAACUGCAGGAGGGUUCUCCCUCCUGUUUGACCUAUUCUAGGAGGAAGUACGGGCUAAGUUCGUGCCAGCAGCCGCGGUAA